GAUGAAGAACGUAGCGAAAUGCGAUACUUGGUGUGAAUUGCAGAAUCCCGUGAACCAUCGAGUCUUUGAACGCAAGUUGCGCCCGAAGCCACUAGGCCGAGGGCACGCCUGCCUGGGCGUCACACGUCGUUGCCCCCCCCCAUCUACUCCUUCGGGAUUGCGGGGGGCGGAUGAUGGCCUCCCGUGCGCCUAGCCGCGCGGUUGGCAUAAAUACCAAGUCCUCGGCGACGCACGCCACGACAAUCGGUGGUUGCGAAACCUCGGUUGCCCGUCGUGUGCCUUCGUCGCGCAUCGAGGGCUCGAAAAAAUGCUCGGCUCCGGCUCGGCUUUCAACGCGACCCCACGUCAGGCGGGGUUACCCGCUGAAUUUAAGCAUAUCAAUAAGCGGAGGA
rnacentral:misc_RNA from 1 species